rfam:Rhizobium leguminosarum bv. viciae plasmid pRL10 complete genome, strain 3841
UGUCAAGAGUUUUUGGCGCCGUUUUGGUGAGCGGAUUUCUUUUGCCUCGUUGAGGUAGACGAUAUG